rnacentral:tRNA from 3 species
GCAGGUGUAGUUUAGUGGUAGAAUCCCAUGCUUCCGACCUGGUGGCCCGAGUUCGAUUCUCGGUACCUGCUCCA